UAAUACGGAGGGUGCAAGCGUUAUCCGGAUUCACUGGGUUUAAAGGGAGCGUAGGUGGGGUGGUAAGUCAGUGGUGAAAUCUCCGGGCUUAACUCGGAAACUGCCGUUGAUACUAUCAGUCUUGAAUAUUGUGGAGGUAAGCGGAAUAUGUCAUGUAGCGGUGAAAUGCUUAGAUAUGACAUAGAACACCGAUAGCGAAGGCAGCUUGCUACACAAUUAUUGACACUGAGGCUCGAAAGCGUGGGGAUCAAACAGGAUUAGAUACCCUGGUAGUCCACGCCCUAAACGAUGGAUACUCGACAUACGCGAUACACAGUGUGUGUCUGAGCGAAAGCAUUAAGUAUCCCACCUGGGAAGUACGACCGCAAGGUU
rnacentral:rRNA from 1 species